GACGAACGCUGGCGGCGUGCUUAACACAUGCAAGUCGAACGGAAAGGCCCCUUUGGGGGUACUCGAGUGGCGAACGGGUGAGUAACACGUGAGUAACCUGCCCUUGACUUCGGGAUAACUUCAGGAAACUGGGGCUAAUACCGGAUAGGAAUCCUUGCUGCAUGGUGGGGGUUGGAAAGCUUCGGCGGGUUUGGAUGGACUCGCGGCUUAUCAGCUUGUUGGUGGGGUAGUGGCUUACCAAGGCUUCGACGGGUAGCCGGCCUGAGGGGGCGACCGGCCACAUUGGGACUGAGGGACGGCCCAGACUCCUACGGGAGGCAGCAGUGGGGAAUAUUGAACAAUGGGCGGAGGCCGGAUGCAGCAGCGCCGCGUGCGGGAUGACGGCCUUCGGGUUGUAGACCGCUUUCAGCAGGGGCGAAGCUUGUGGUGACGGUACCUGCAGAAGAAGCACCGGCUAACUACGUG
rnacentral:rRNA from 1 species